rnacentral:rRNA from 1 species
AACGAACGCUGGCGGCAUGCCUAACACAUGCAAGUCGAACGAGACCUUCGGGUCUAGUGGCGCACGGGUGCGUAACGCGUGGGAACCUGCCCUUAGGUUCGGAAUAACUCCCCGAAAGGGGUGCUAAUACCGGAUAAUGUCUUCGGACCAAAGAUUUAUCGCCUUUGGAUGGGCCCGCGUUGGAUUAGCUAGUUGGUAGGGUAAAAGCCUACCAAGGCGACGAUCCAUAGCUGGUCUGAGAGGAUGAUCAGCCACACUGGGACUGAGACACGGCCCAGACUCCUACGGGAGGCAGCAGUGGGGAAUAUUGGACAAUGGGCGAAAGCCUGAUCCAGCAAUGCCGCGUGAGUGAUGAAGGCCUUAGGGUUGUAAAGCUCUUUUACCCGGGAUGAUAAUGACAGGACCGGGAGAAUAAGCUCCGGCUAACUCCGUG